rnacentral:tRNA from 1 species
GCGGGAAUAGCUCAGUUGGUAGAGCACGACCUUGCCAAGGUGGGGUCGCGAGUUCGAGUCUCGUUUCCCGCUCCA